UACGUAGGGGGCAAGCGUUGUCCGGAUUUAUUGGGCGUAAAGAGCGUGUAGGCGGCUAGAUAGGUCCGUUGUGAAAACUCGAGGCUCAACCUCGAGACGUCGAUGGAAACCAUCUGGCUAGAGUCCGGAAGAGGAGAGUGGAAUUCCUGGUGUAGCGGUGAAAUGCGCAGAUAUCAGGAAGAACACCCGUGGCGAAAGCGGCUCUCUGGAAACGGUACUGACGCUGAGACGCGAAAGCGUGGGGAGCGAACAGG
rnacentral:rRNA from 1 species